UUGGGUCUUGUUUAGGCUCAGAGGCGCAAUGAAAGUGAAGGAUGCCCUAGUUGGUGUCUGCGUUGGGAUCCCGGGGCCUCGAGUUCCGGGCGCACCAACGGCCCGUCCCGUCUGCGACGUCAGUGGGACGGAGCGAGAGCGUACACGUUGGGACCCGAAAGAUGGUGAACUAUGCCUGGGCAGGACGAGGCCAGAGGAAACUCUGGUGGAGGUCCGCAGCGAUUCUGACGUGCAAAUCGAUCGUCAGACCUUGGUAUAGGGGCGAAAGACUAAUCGAACCGUCUAGUAGCUGGUUCCCUCCGAAGUUUCCCUCAGGAUAGCUGGUGCUCGAGUGGAAUCAGUCUCAUCCGGUAAAGCGAAUGAUUAGAGGCCUUGGGGCCGAAACGACCUCAACCUAUUCUCAAACUUUCAAUGGGUGAGAAGUCCGGUUUACAUGACUGAAGCCCGGACGAUUCUCAGGAUGUGAGUGCCAAGUGGGCCACUUUU
rnacentral:rRNA from 1 species